CAGCAGCCGCGGUAAUACGGAGGGAGCUAGCGUUGUUCGGAAUUACUGGGCGUAAAGCGCGCGUAGGCGGUUACUCAAGUCAGAGGUGAAAGCCCGGGGCUCAACCCCGGAACUGCCUUUGAAACUAGGUGACUAGAAUCUUGGAGAGGUCAGUGGAAUUCCGAGUGUAGAGGUGUAAUUCGUAGAUAUUCGGAAGAACACCAGUGGCGAAGGCGACUGACUGGACAAGUAUUGACGCUGAGGUGCGAAAGCGUGGGGAGCAAACAGGAUUAGAUACCCCGGUAGUCCCUGUCUCUUAUAC
rnacentral:rRNA from 1 species